ACCAAUUCCGGACACAAUCUCAGCACUGUGGGAGACUGAGGCACCUGCCAAACCUGCACAGAUUCCUACAGCAGCCAGUUCGCUCUGUCUCGAGGCUUCAGAGGAACACGAACUUCUCUGAUGGAAGAGCCUUGUUCUAGAAGGGAGUGAAGCCUAGGUCUUUCCUGAGCACACAGAAGAUCAAGACCACACUCACUGACUUCUCAUAGUCAAGCAAUUUUGGCCAAUUAAAUGUCAGUUGGAAACUCCUGUGUCAGCUUCUCUGUGGCGGUGAGAAGUCCCUGUGUGACAUCCCAACUCUCCCCUCACCUGCGUUGGCAACCAAGAAAGCCUUGUGUUGGAGGUGGGGCCACAAGUUUAAAGCUAAGUUACCACCUCGAGGGCACAUUCCUGGAGAGCUUCCCAGGCCCACAGUGGCACGUGUAUGAGUGACAGAUCCACUUCUUUAUUACCUUUUUGAAGAACAGGAACCUUUGUCUGGAAAUUCCACAAGUAUGCCUUUUGCAAGAUUAAAAGUGCCACAAAGAACAAAAAUGAGCCCAGGACCAGAUGCAUGUUAAAAGCCAUCAGACACGUUAAGUUUCAUCUCCAUUGACCUGCAGAAGGAGUCUCUCACCACAGCCACCACAUCUAUGCAUGUGCUGAGUCACAUGUGAAGCCAGCACAUCUCAGAGUCUCACCGAAAGCUCAUGGUGAGACAAAGAGACUAGAAGGGGUAGAGUCAGCUAACUUCUCUCCUCCCACCACUGAUGAGGUUUUGGUGAAUUCUCUUCCCUUGCUCAGGACUAUUUGGUUUCUAUUCUACUUCUGGCCUUUCAUAUUCCUGAUGGUGCAUUGGAUGAAACCCCGCAGCCAGGCGUGUGAACGUGGUUGAAAAGACCCAUGGAGGACCAGCAACGCUUCCCCACAGCGUGGGAUGGUCCCCUCCUGAGAUGGCCCACUGUCAGCGGGACUGACGCCAAGCACUGCAUCCUGUCUGCUUCUUGAACAGCCCCUUCAUUGUUUGUUCAGCUAUUCUGCUGCAUCUGCAGAUAGCCCUGCCUGAGAAACAGCCUCAAACCAGAAGGAGAGGAUGGCGGCAAGCCUUAGAGAAACAUGGAUGUUAUGUGGACUUCAUUGCCUCAGAGAAAAUUCCUUUUAGGGCUGAAGGCAGAGAAAGUCAGCAUUGAUUUCUGGCCUAAGCUCUUGGGAGUUUAGAGGGUUUGUCAAGGAGCCAAAAGAGGCAAAGGGACUUGAAGAUUUGGACGGCAUGUCUCGGAGAAGUAGCCCCACUCCUAGAGGAGAUGACAUUUGGCUUGGAGGAGAAAGAGGCCUCAAAGGUUUCACAUAUCUAAGUCCAAGGAACUUGAGCUCACAGUCAGACAUCAUAAAACACACAAGGAAAGAAGGCAUCAUGAAUAAAAGCAGGAACCAAUAUUAUUAGACACAACAGAUAAAAUGACCGUAAAGAAAAUUUGGGAAUGUGUAUUUCAGGGAAAAUGAAAAUGAUCCCAAUAAAGAUCGGAGAUGCAGGAAGGAAGGAAAACAUAGAAAUUGAGCCAGUUGGAGUGUGAGGCUUCAGAAUCGCCUUCCAACUCUCUGUGCACUGCACCAGCUGCUUCCCAUAGACUCCUGGUAAAAUAUAGAGCGGAAGGAAGAAGAGCCACUACCCAUAACAUCAGUGGCUGCUAACUAAGGAGUGUUUUGACAUGCUGGUACAGCCUAUCCUCAGCUUUCCAGAAGGUGGAAUCUUGUGAUAGUGGAAAGAAGUAGAAGAGAUGAAGUACCUAUGACUCCAGGAUUUGCCAGUGAAAGAAGUCAACAAUAUUUUAACUUUGAUCUUAACCAAAAGGCCAAGAAGUGAUGCUAAUAUUUUCAUAUACUACGACAGUUGCAGACACACGUCUAUCAUAGCUGGGUAGUAAUCCAGGCAACUCUGCCACAAGUCAUGGGCUCAGCCACCAGUCCACGAAGUCUCCAGUCACACAUAUUGCUUCGGACUAUUCUCUAUCCCCAGUUGUCAAUUAACUAAAAUAUUAAAUGAGGAUGCCAUGGAGUCCCCCAACUGAUUUCAUAAAUUUGGUGUCACAUUGUAAAUCAAGCAGCUGCAGAGUGGCUGGGACAUCUGUUUGGUUCUGUUAUUCUCUUUACUCCAAAAGGAAACUAACUCCAAAAGAAGAAAACCUGAUGUCUGAGCUGAAUCCUAAUCAUGAAGAUGUUUUUCCACCAUUCCUGUCUGUGUUUUUCUACCAUUCCUGUCUGUGUUUUUCUACCAAAGUGUGCUCUUGAAGUUCUGCAUUUCCCAGGGUGUGGUGAAAGAAGAGAAAAAAAUGUCCAAGAUGACUUCAACGUUCUGACCUUGAGUGGCUUGAGUGAAUGGAGUUACAACUGUGCAGAAAGAUUCAGUAGAGAGUUUUGGAUUUAUGCACCAGUAAGGGGAAAACUGAACAGCUGCAGAGAGCUGUAACUUUUAUAGGAGAUUAAUCUAUAAGAGAAGACAGCAAACUACAGCCUGUGUGUCAAAUCCUACUUGCCACGUCCACUGAAAGCUAACUACACUGGAACACUCUCAUUUCUGCAAAGAAAAAUAUCAUAUCCCAGGAUGAAAAGGAGGAGGAAGAGGAAAGGCUAACUUAACAAGAAGCUCUUUGACAUUCUUGAAUUAGACACCCAACGUAGUCCACGCAGUACGGAGGAUGACUUCAGAAGUGCAAUUCUGAUAUGGACUUUGUCUCCCUAAGGCUUUCAGUUCCUCAUAUUUAGGAUAAAACAGAAGUUUAUGUAAAGCCAAGGGAGAGGGUCACCGGGAGAGGGAAGGAGGAACAGCAGAAGGAGAGGUCCACACAUGAAAAUACUUGGAAGCGCCCCAGGGCCUAUCAGAUGCAGGUCUUGGCGGAAAUUACCAAACAUACUUUAGACAGGCUGCUGUGUUGCUGAGUGUGGACUGGCCUCAGGGCCUGCUGAUCAAAGCAAAAGGAAGCAGUGAAAAAAACAUCACCAUGUCUUCUUAGAGUCUAAUCUGGGGGCAAGAGGCCAGCAUGCACAGUUGGUGCUGAUUUUCUUGGGCGGAUAGAGGAAAGGUGUAGGCGUGGCCAACAUUUGAGCAGCAUGUGGUUCCUCUCACACGCCAUGCUGUUUCCGGCCUCCUUGCAUUUUACUCAUGCCAUCCUCCUGGUCACUUCUUUGAGAUAUUAAGUGCAUUCUUUAGGACUCAGACUCAGCUCAAGGGUCAGUGCAUCCAUGAAGCCUUACCUGGAUCCCAGAGGGAGCUCUGUGCUCCUCCUUUGUCUCCUAUAGGACCCAGUACAUGCGUCCAGUAUUAUCCAUACACACUGAAAUGAUCUAGCAUGUGUCUUCCCAUAGGAUUUCAAAUUCUUAGAAUAUAGGAGUGAUGCCUUCUUCCUACUUAUAUUUCCAGUGUUAACAGUGCCUGUCAAUUGACUUGAAGAUAACUAAAAGUCUGGUUGUUAAGGGCUGCUUCCCACCUCCAAAUACUUCCCUGGAAGUCAUUGUAUGGGCACUGACAUUGGUAGGUCUCCACUGGCUUGUAGAUGCUUCUGAUUAUAAGGUAGUCUCAGAUGCCUUCAGAAAGUUCUAAGACUGUAUAAAACAUUUCCUUCACAACCAAUAACUGUGUAUUAUUGUUCGUGUAAUUCCAGAAGUUAUCCUUUUGAUAGAGAGCAAUUACUUUAUUGAUUGAGAGUUAGCUAAUUAUGUAAUAAAGGUAAAGAUUUGCAUAGAGAA
rnacentral:lncRNA from 1 species